CCUAUGGGAGGCAGCAGUAAGGAAUAUUGGUCAAUGGGCGCAAGCCUGAACCAGCCAUGCCGCGUGCAGGAAGACGGCCCUAUGGGUUGUAAACUGCUUUUGAACAAGAGAAAACCUCGGUACGUGUACCGAGCUGAUAGUAUUGUUAGAAUAAGCAUCGGCUAACUUCGUGCCAGCAGCCGCGGUAAGACGAAGGAUGCAAGCGUUAUCCGGAUUCAUUGGGUUUAAAGGGUGCGUAGGCGGCCUGAUAAGUCAGUGGUGAAAUCUCUCAGCUUAACUGAGAAACUGCCAUUGAUACUGUCGGGCUUGAGUACAGAUGAUGUGGGCGGAAUAUGACAUGUAGUGGUGAAAUACUUAGAUAUGUCAUAGAACACCGAUUGCGAAGGCAGCUCACAAAACUGUAACUGACGCUGAGGCACGAAAGUGCGGGGAUCAAACAGGAUUAGAUACCCUGGUAGUCCGCACCGUAAACGAUGAUUACUCGUUGUUGGCAAUAUGACCGUCAGCGACCGACGACGAAGACGAGAAGUAAGUACCUACCGUACGGGAGGUACGGACCGGCCGACGGUACGGAACGUAAACGGUAAAGUAGUUACGGACGNGAGACGAGCGACGGACGACGACGAGGGAGGAGGAGG
rnacentral:rRNA from 1 species